GCAGAGGCAAGCAGAACAUGUGAUGUGUAAGUCAGGCCUGUCUUUCCUGUUGCCUUUCUCUGCAGCACAACUCCUGCUCAUAUGUGGGGUACGACUGAAGACCUGCACCAGCCAAAGUGACCAGUGAAUGAUGGAAUCAGGGGAUUUUAAGAUGUUUAAAUUGUGCUGUGCAGUUUGAUAGGGCUUUAUGCAGCCAGUGGAACAAGAGAGGCUGCCCUUUAAGGUAACUUAAGGGAUGACUUUGAUGCUGAGAAAAUAUCUGGAGACAUCUGAUUUUAUCUAAGCAUCCUUUGAGGAGAUUCAGGAAUAGCACAUUUGGGGUGGAACUCUGUAGGGAGGGGAGGUCUGAGGAAAGGUUUUGGUUAUGACAUGAUGUUUCAUAGACUGCAAUAACAAGUAUUCUUUGGCAAAGCAGCCACAUAGGUAUGUUUGGCUGUAAAUAUAUGCCAAAUAGUUACAGCAAGCUGGGAGAGCUGCCUAAUGGGGAGGUGAGGUAAUUCUUCCUCUUUUACUCUGUGCUGGUUAGACCUUGUGAAAGUGUCAUACUUGGGCUUUAUCCUCAAAAGAAGAUAAAAUUGGGGAAACUAAGCCAAGAAAUGUACAGCAAAAAUGGGCUGAGAAUAGAAGCUCUGGGGAGAGCAGCUGUGGUGUUAAAGCUGUUUACUGUCAAGAGGAUAUAACUGCAAAGAGAUAAGCUCAUGUUGUGUGGGUUGUGGGUUCUCCUGGGCUGCUUCAGAAAAGAAGAGAAUGGGCAGUUCUCUAUGUCCUUGCUGGUUGGUAAACCAGGAUAGAUGAGAAGAAAUGGUAUUAUGGGAUAUAUAACUUAAGAUGAGGAUGGAGAAGCACUGGGAUAGAUUUGCCUUGGGAAGUUGUGGAGUUGUAGUCACUGGGGGUCAGAAGUCAAACAAACAUCUGCCAGCACAGAUAGAGCUGACCCUGCCUCAGGCAGGGUGAUGGGCUGCCUGGCCACUGCUCUGCGGCUCCUUCCAACCCUCUUUGUUAUGAUGACGUGGAAACCAAAUUCUGCAUAAAAAUAACUCAAUGUGUUGCCUUAUUCUGUAUUUUCCUCUGCAAGGAAGGAGGCUCAGGGUGUGCCCAGGAGGAAGAGAAGUGGGGUAAAGCCACUGUGUCAAGGGGCACAAUGUGACUGAGCUGUGAAAUCAAUAUAAUUAUUACUUUUAUCCUUCCCUUUAUUAAUAAUGGACUUUUUUUUCAUGCUAUCAAGGUAGCCAGCUGUUGCCUAAGCCAUUAAUGCACUGUGCUCUGAGCUAUGUUUUGCAGGCUUUUUUCCCCCCCUCUCAGGAGAGAUUUUCUUAUGAAGUGUUUUAUGAAGGCAAUGGAGCUGGAUGCUGGGGUACAAUGCACUGUGGCACUUUGUGAACUGUUCCUCAUGUUCUGGAACAAGCAGUGACUUUCUGACACAAGAAUCCUUUGCUUCCCAACUCCACAGGAUAACUGGACUGCGGAGAAUUCAGAAGCUGUUUGAAAGUCAGGAUGCUUUUUCCCGAGUCUCGGACCUGCUGAGGGUAAACAGCUCUGCCCUCUAGUGCCGCUUCCCGAAUCUGUUAAACCGGAGCACAUCGAUGAUCCUGGGAGCAUGCCUCACCCAGGGCAUCCCUUGGAGCACGCUGAUCAGAGCCAGCCCAGGGCUGCUCUGCGCAUCGUGCUGAAACCAGGCAGCUGCUCUGUUAGAAGGGCUUUAGCCCCAUGCCAGGCAGGGGGAGCAUGGCACAUGUUGGCAUAUCCCCUGCACAGCAUCCAUAAGGGGAAAUACAGUACAUCACCACUGACUUUCCUGGAGCUGGUGUUUGGAAGACCCCUGCUGCUGAUGAUUCAGAUUCCUCCUGAAGGAUCUGCUGCUGGUUGAUGGGAAGUUGUCAAAAUGCAUUGUGCCACUUCAGGAGGAGCACAGGGUAGCCUGCGACUCUUGUUCCUCCUCUUCGAGGAUGAAGAGUUGACAAGUUUAAAGGGACACACCAUGAGCAGCUGAGUCUGUGGGAGAUGGAGGAAGAUCAGGAACCUCUGACAGCUUUUGAGGCUUUGAAGAAUCGGACCCCAGGAAUGUUCAUCUAGAUAUUAAGGCCUGUGUUUAUAAGAGCAAUUGCUUUGCCAUGUUCUCCUUGAGGACCUGGCUGAGCAUCCAAAGAGGAGGUAUGCAUUGUCACUUCUGGUAGAGGCAGGUUGGCUGAUGUGACUGUAUCUGUUCUGAUGCUUUGAGCUUCUCGGCAUGCUGUGCCAUCACCAGCACUUGUUCCUAUAGCAGUUUUUGUUGCUCCUGUGCCCAGUAACUUCUGUUUGGGGUUUACUCUUCUCUUCUCAUUCUGUACUUGGACACAGAGGUAGUUCUCAGUCUUGCAAAUGGGCUUGCUUCAGCCCUGGCGUGUUGGUGCUUCCCUCCUUCAUUCUUUCUAUGUCUGGUGCAGAUGUGGAGGCUCUGCCCACUGGCCAGGGGCCGGCAGCUCACUGAUGGAGCCAUCAGCACGGUAACUUUGGCUGUAUCAGUUUCUCUCGGUCUCUGCAGCUUUCUGGGUUAGGAGAUCCAUCAGCCUGAGGGUUUAUUUGCACUAACACCAUGGGUGAGAAAACAAGCACUGCAUCAGGCCAUGUUUAUUUUAUAUCUCAGGAGCUGCUGGGAGCUGUGUCAGCCAAGGCAGUCCCACGGGCCCUGCUGGCUCCAGGGAUCUAGUCCUGCUGUCUGCAGGCUGUGAGGACCAUCUCUUGGGAGGCAGUCGUACACACUGCCCCCUGCCUAAGCUCCAGCCCCUGGGAACACCAGAACUCUCCAGGCUGGGCUUGCUGGGAGCUCUCCUGGUUUUCCUGAGGGUACCGUGGUGCCGCUUGGCAGCCCAGGCAAUGGCAUAAAUGAUUUUCUGUCCUCUUGUCUCAAACAUUAAAGAGACUACAGUGAUGGAGAGAGGAAGGAAUAAUGCAGCUCAGGGAAGAGCUGUGCUCCUGCAGGGGUUGCACUGGGCACACUCAUUCCCCCAGUGCACGCAGAGGGUUUUUUUAACCCUGGGAUCCCUCUUUGGUGCUGGCAGGGUGUCUCAGGCUUGUGUGGGCAGCAAUAGUUCCCGUAUGGCUGCAGAGUGUGCUGAGGCUGGUUCCUCUGUGCUUUGGGGUGAGGGAGAUGGUCCAUCCCAAGAUUGGCUCCAGCUCCAGACCAUGAGUGAAGGCUGCAGUGCCACAGCUCUGUGCAGUAUUAGCUGCCUGUGGCUGUAAUAGUCAGGGUGAUGGCUCUUCCAGGAGGAAAACACCUCAGCUGAAGCAGUGUUCCCCAUGGACACAUCGGUGUGCUUUGUGCUGUCACGCUGCGCAUCAGUCACAGCAAAGAGAGUGGCUCUAGCGGCGGCUGAGUUUGUGAUGAGGAUGUAGCAAGCGCGAUGACUCCAGAGCUGGUUCAGGUUCGUGCAGAGCCCUGGUGCUGGCUCCCCUCUGGCAUGGACACGCCGGGCCCUCGCUCUGGGACACUGCUUUGGGAUAAGUGCUGUUUCCAAUCUGUUCCUCGCCAGCUGUCAGCAGUUUCUGUGUGUGCCCACCAGAGAGCAACCCCAGCACAGGGUUGUUGUCUCCAGAGAGACAGAGGCUGAGAUGGAAGGUCUGGGUGUGAAGCCAAAUCCAUCUUCUCUCACCCUUUCCAGCCCUGUACCUCAUCCCAAACCUGAGCUAAGCAGUGAGUUUGGCCUCAUGGUGUCCUGGGCAAUAGGAGCAUUCCUCUGGGCAGGGAGGAUGUGCUGGCACGUGAAGCUCUGGCAAGAGACCCUGCCUGGGUCUU